UGAUGACGAGACGCUAAGGCGUUGAAGCAGUGUAUGUCAGACUUCCAAGAAAAGCUCGCAAUGUCACAAAUAAAAAUGCCUGUACCAUAACCGACACAGGUGGGUAGGUAGAGUAUACUAAGGGGCGCGAGAUAACUCUCUCUAAGGAACUCGGCAAAAUGACUCCGUAACUUCGGGAGAAGGAGUGCCUUAUUUAUAAGGUUGCAAUAACAAGAUCCAAGCAACUGUUUAUCAAAAACACAGGUCUCCGCUAAGUCGUAAGACGAUGUAUGUGGGCUGACGCCUGCCCAGUGCCAGAAGGUUAAAGAAGUUGGUUAGUGUAUGCGAAGCUGAUGACUGAAGCCCUGGUGAACGGCGGCCGUAACGAUAACGGUCCUAAGGUAGCGAAAUUCCUUGUCGGGUAAGUUCCGACCCGCACGAAAGGCGUAAUGAUUUGGAUACUGUCUCGGAGAGAGGCUCGGUGAAAUAGACUUGUCUGUGAAGAUGCGGACUACCUGCACCAGGACAGAAAGACCCUAUGAAGCUUUACUGUAACUUGAAACUGGAAUUGGACUUUGCUUGCGCAGUAUAGGUGGGAAGCGUUGAAAAUAUUCUUGCGGGAGUAUUGGAGCUAUCAGUGAGAUACCACUCUUGUAAUGUUAGAUUUCUAACUUUGAACCAUAAUCUGGUCAAAGAACAGUUUCAGGUGGGCAGUUUGACUGGGGCGGUCGCCUCCCAAAUGGUAACGGAGGCGUACAAAGGUUUCCUCUGAACGGAUAGAAAUCGUAUCUAGAGUGUAAAGGCAUAAGGAAGCUUGACUGUGAGACCUACAAGUCGAGCAGGGACGAAAGUCGGUCUUAGUGAUCUGACGGUACUGAGUGGAAAGGCCGUCACUCAACGGAUAAAAGUUACUCUAGGAUAACAGGCUGAUCUCCCCCAAGAGUUCACAUCGACGGGGAGGUUUGGCACCUCGAUGUCGGCUCAUCGCAUCCUGGGGCGGUAGUACGUCCCAAGGGUUGGGCUGUUCGCCCAUGAAAGCGGUACGCGAGCUGGGUUCAGAACGUCGUGAGACAGUUCGGUCCAUAUCCGGUGUAGGCGCUAGAAUAUUGAGAGGAGCCUUCUUUAGUACGAGAGGACCGAGAAGGACACACCGCUGGUGUACCAGUUAUCGUGCCAACGGUAAACGCUGGGUAGCUAUGUGUGGAGUGGAUAACCGCUGAAAGCAUCUAAGUGGGAAGCCCACCUCGAGAUGAGUAUUCCC
rnacentral:rRNA from 1 species